AGACCUUUGUUUAGAGGAAGCUCAGAUGUUGAUCAGCUGGGGAAGAUUUUUGAUGUGGUCGGGGUUCCCUCGGUGGAGGACUGGCCCCAGGAAGUUGCCCUACCACAGAGUGCCUUCUCUCCACGACCCCCUCAGCCAAUUGGAAACCUCAUCCCUGACAUGGACGAGCUGGGGAAGUCCCUUAUACUGCAAUUCCUGGCAUUCAAUCCCGCCAAAAGGAUAUCAGCGUUUGCUGCUCUGACCCACCCCUACUUCCAGAGUGUAGAUAGUGACAGUAAGAGUGUGUACGCUCAGCCCAUUGCCAGCAACAAGCCCACCAUGGAGGAGAGUGCUGCCUGACAGCCCCCCGGCCCAGGACAAGAGAGAGAGCACGAGAGAGAUGGACACAAAGACAGAGAAAGAGAGCAACAGACAGACAUUUGAUUCUAAAAUGCAACAGUGCUGUCUUCCACAAUGUACUGAUUUGAAUGCUGCUUUUUAGGAUAAUUUUUUUUUUAUUAAAACAUUUAAACAAUGCAAGGACCCUUAAAGCUGAGAUGUACUGCCACCAGGGGAGAACCUCUGGAUGUCCAGGAGCUGCUGCCUCUUGUCUCUUCUGCCUUAGCCUGAGAAGAGGCUCCUCGGUGAGGGAACACCAAGCACCAAGGGUAGGUCGGCAUGGAUCUCACCUGGAGCUCAUUUCCACGACUGAACUGAGAGAGAGGAUACACACACAUAUGUUUAUCCCAUGCAGGAGGACCUCACACUGCCUAGCGCUGCUUAUGGUCCAAACAUACAUUUGUGUUUUUAUAUCACUGCCAUCUACAGGUAGUCCUGUGUUACUGCAGGCUGGAACAGGAUUCUGAUGGGCUUCAGCUUAAAAGACUUCGACUGGUGCGAACGAAGCACUCCACAGAACAACUGAAAAUGGAUCACUUUGAGUUCUUCUUAUGGCAUCCGUACUUCAGUGUCAUAAAGUGAGAUGAAAUCUGAUGGACACCAUUCAAGAGCCUAUGUGUUACUCUUUCUGAUGACCUGAUCAAUCAAUCAAAUGUAUUUCUAAAGCCCUUUUUACAUCAGCCGAUGUCACAAAGUGCUUAUACAGAAAC